UUUCUGUGCUCCUCCGAGCUCGCCGUCUGUCCGGGUUUUUUACGUUUUAAUUUGCAGGACUUGAACUGCCAUGUCCUCUGAAGAAGGAAAGCUUUUCGUGGGAGGGCUCAACUUUAACACCGACGAGCAAGCGCUGGAAGACCACUUCAGCAGUUUCGGACCUAUCUCUGAGGUGGUCGUUGUCAAGGACCGGGAGACUCAGCGGUCCAGGGGUUUUGGUUUCAUCACCUUCACCAACCCAGAGCAUGCUUCAGUUGCCAUGAGAGCCAUGAACGGAGAGUCCCUGGAUGGUCGUCAGAUCCGUGUGGCUCAUGCAGGCAAGUCUGCUCGGGGAACCAGAGGAGGUGGCUUUGGGGCCCAUGGCGUGGUCGCAGCUACUCUAGAGGUGGUGGGGACCAGGGCUAUGGGAGUGGCAGGUAUUAUGACAGUAGACCUGGAGGGUAUGGAUAUGGAUAUGGACGUUCCAGAGACUAUAAUGGCAGAAACCAGGGUGGUUAUGACCCCUACUCAGGAGGAAAUUACAGAGACCAUUAUGACAAGUGAAAUGAGACAUGCACAUAAUGUAGAUACACAAGGAAUAAUUUCUGAUCCAGGAUCGUCCUUCCAAAUGGCUGUAUUUAUAAAGGUUUUUGGAGCUGCACUGAAGCAUCUUAUUUUAUAGCAUAUCAACCUUUUGUUUUUAAAUUGACCUGCCAAGGUAGUUAAAGAUCUUUAACAGUUCCAUCUUUUUAAAAAUUUUUUCUGCCUAUUUAAAGACAAAUUAUGGAACGUUUGUAGAGCCUGAGUAUUUUUCUUUUUACCAGUUUUUUAGUUAGACCUCUCAGGAUUAUUGGAGCUAGCAAUAAUUGAUUCUGGCAAGUUUGGCCAGACUGGUUUCAGAAAAUUAAUGUGUAUCCAGGACAUUUUAAAAACCUGUACACAGUGUUUAUUGUGGUUAGGAAGCAAUUU